rnacentral:lncRNA from 1 species
AGAGCUGCUCCAACUGUGUGAGAACCGGACCACAGCCCAAAGGGAGACAACUGAUAGAAUUAACAGUAAAAAGCCUCAUGGAUCUGGAGUGGUACACAAGCCCUUGUACUCUCCUGCCUUUGGCCCCUUAGCACCCACCCAAACUUGUUUGUGAACCAAGUUUAUGUCUUCAUCACAGAGGAUACAUGAAGUCCUACCAGCUGCUGAAUUGUCAUGAGGUGACGUCAAUUCAGUCAUGCCCGGGGCUGGAGCUAAAACAUUAGUGAUCACUGGGAUUUUUCAUGCAACGUAGCAGAGGGAAAAAGGAAGAAAAAUCACAUGGCACCAAUAGUAGCGGAUCCAGUCCCCACACCUGUUAGCCGGACACUGCAGAGCCUCCUUCCUCUACCACACAUUCGUCUCUGUGUCUUCCUUUGUCUCUGCCAGACCAGUGGCUGGACAGGUCUUUCCUUCUGGUAUGUUUGAGCUUCAACCCUGAAUAUAGUUUGGAAGGACUGAUGCUGAAACUCCAAUACUUUGGCCACCUGAUGCAAAGAACUGACUCAUUGGAAAACACCCUGAUGCAGGAAAAGACUUAAGGCAGGAGAAGGGGACAACAGAGGAUAAGAUGGUUGGAUGGCAUCAUUGACUCAAUGGACAUGAGUUUAAGUAAGCUCCAGGAGGUGGUGAAGGACAGGAAAGCCUGGCAUGCUGCAGUCCAUGAAGUUGCAGAGUCAGACACCAUGGAGCGAUUGAACAACAACAAGCAGGUGUUUGUCCAGGUGCAAGCACUGCCGCAAAGGGUCCCAGAUGCCAGCCUUUCUCAAUACUGCUCAGGAUUCUCACCAGUCCAAACCACACAGAAGCCAGAAAGAAAAUGUUGACGUGGUCCAGCCAGAGUGGCCUCUGGGGGCAGAGAACUAGGUUGAGGAAGGAAUCCAGAAACACUGCUAUUCAGAUUCCUUACUACGAAUAAAGAAUCUGCUCACCAGAGUGAUCUAGCUGUGACCACCUUGCCCACUGAGGACCUCAGCACAGCUAGAGAUGGGAUAGCCAGAGGUGGGGAGCCUCCUGAUGGGAUGCUCUGUGAGGUACAGGACACCUCCUGGGGGGAUUCUUGCCAAAAUGUCUAAAGCUAGUCAUGUCUUUAGAUCUAACAACCAGUUUGUAGGGAAUACAGACAGUGGAGCACCAUGGUGAAAUAGUACAUGAAGAAACACAAAAGCAGGAGACAGGACCUCUUGUAAGACACCUGGUCUGCUUCCAGCCAACAGCCAAUUUUAUGGGAA